rnacentral:rRNA from 1 species
AUUGAACGCUGGCGGCAUGCUUUACACAUGCAAGUCGAGCGGCAGCGCGGGGGCAACCCUGGCGGCGAGCGGCGAACGGGUGAGUAAUACAUCGGAACGUGUCCCGGAGUGGGGGAUAACCCGGCGAAAGCCGGACUAAUACCGCAUAUGCUCUACGGAGGAAAGUGGGGGACCCGCAAGGGCCUCAUGCUAUGGGAGCGGCCGAUGUCCGAGUAGCUUGUUGGUGAGGUAACGGCUUACCAAGGCGACGAUCGGUAGCUGGUCUGAGAGGAUGGUCAGCCACACUGGGACUGAGACACGGCCCAGACUCCUACGGGAGGCAGCAGUGGGGAAUUUUGGACAAUGGGGGCAACCCUGAUCCAGCCAUGCCGCGUGCGGGAAGAAGGCCUUCGGGUUGUAAACCGCUUUUGUCCGGGAAGAAAAGGCAUUCCCUAGUACGGGGUGCUCUUGACGGUACCGGAAGAAUAAGCACCGGCUAACUACGUGCCAGCCGCCGCAGUAAUAC